rnacentral:rRNA from 1 species
UCGAGGGGUAACAGGGAUUGCUUGCAAUCCGCUGACGACCGGCGCACGGGUGCGUAACGCGUAUGCAACCUACCUUCUACAGGGGGAUAGUCAAUAGAAAUGUUGAAUAAUACCCCAUACGAUCAUUUAUCUGCAUAGAUUAAUGAAGAAAGCUCCGGCGGUAGAAGAUGGGCAUGCGUCCUAUUAGUUAGUUGGUAAGGUAACGGCUUACCAAGACAUCGAUAGGUAGGGGUCCUGAGAGGGAGAUCCCCCACACUGGUACUGAGACACGGACCAGACUCCUACGGGAGGCAGCAGUGAGGAAUAUUGGACAAUGGAGGCAACUCUGAUCCAGCCAUGCCGCGUGCAGGAAGACGGCCCUAUGGGUUGUAAACUGCUUUUAUACAGGAAGAAUUGUACCUACGUGUAGGUAUUUGACGGUACUGUACGAAUAAGGAUCGGCUAACUCCGUGCCAGCAGCCGCGGUAAU